UUUUCUCUCUCGUACGAUCUCUCUCUCUCUUCUCACUAUCUUCACACUUUCAUCUCUAACCUUUCUCAAUCUCUUUCUCUCUGUCCUCCUCAUCUAAUCUUCACCAUAACAUCCACCGCAACUUUCACCACACCUAUAAAUCAAUAACUCGUCAGUGUGAGGGAGUGGCCGAGUGAGAGGAGAUUUGUCGGCGGGAGAGAAGUUCCGGCUAGGAGGAGAGAAUUCCGGCUGAGGAGAGAAGUUCGCGGUAACAGGCGGUGCUUGGCGACGGCGGUGACAAAUCUUCUUUCUCAUUCUUUCCUAUGAAGUUUGGGUUAAACCCGUGUUCUAGGACAUGGCUCCACUAAAAAGGAAAUGAAGUCUGGGGAUGCUUUUGAAGUUGAGGUACUGAAGCUGUAAAAAUGGUGUUUUGAGGACUACGAGUUUGGGUACUCAAGCGGCACAAACAGAUGGUUUUAAGCUUGCGGAAUAACAUCGUACUUCUAUUAAAUCAGGAUAAACCAGAGGGGGUGGAUUUUGAUCUAGCUUGAAGGUUUUGAUCAUCUGUUAUAAGAGGUAGUUCUCUUCUUGUAUCUCUUUAUAUCUCCAAUUUGGUUUUUAGAUUUACAGUUCAGAUUACUUCUUAUUGGCUACUGAUUUGAUUUACAAGUUUGAUUGAAAAAAAUGUAAUAACAUGUAUAUAGUAUUUAUACCGGCGAGGAAGAGAGUUCCUGCCGAGAGAGUUGCAGUGGCAGUUCACGGUGACACCGCGGUGCUUGGCGAUGGAGGGUCCUAUCCUUCAUUUUCCAUUCUUCUUUUCAUUGCAGCAAAUCAUAACUGCUUAUUAUCAUUCAGCUGAAGCAGCUAUGUCUAAAGGAUCUUUUGAAGAUAAUUUCAGCAUAAUGUUGUCCCAGGACCAUUUUACUACCUCUACAGAUGGACAGGUCUGAUAUCUCUCCUUAGACAAUGAUAGAGUGAAAUUGAGGUGCAAUGGGGUUCAACCAAAUGAUCACCCUGUCAAAUUGGAGCUUUUAUA